rnacentral:rRNA from 1 species
GAUGAACGCUGGCGGCGUGCCUAAUACAUGCAAGUCGAGCGAACAGACGAGGAGCUUGCUCCUCUGACGUUAGCGGCGGACGGGUGAGUAACACGUGGAUAACCUACCUAUAAGACUGGGAUAACUUCGGGAAACCGGAGCUAAUACCGGAUAAUAUAUUGAACCGCAUGGUUCAAUAGUGAAAGACGGUUUUGCUGUCACUUAUAGAUGGAUCCGCGCCGCAUUAGCUAGUUGGUAAGGUAACGGCUUACAAAGGCAACGAUGCGUAGCCGACCUGAGAGGGUGAUCGGCCACACUGGAACUGAGACACGGUCCAGACUCCUACGGGAGGCAGCAGUAGGGAAUCUUCCGCAAUGGGCGAAAGCUUGACGGAGCAACGCCGCGUGAGUGAUGAAGGUCUUCGGAUCGUAAAACUCUGUUAUUAGGGAAGAACAAAUGUGUAAGUAACUAUGCACGUCUUGACGGUACCUAAUCAGAAAGCCACGGCUAACUACGUG